GUAGGGAAUAUUGGGCAAUGGAUGCAAGUCUGACCCAGCCAUCCCGCGUGCCGGAAGAAGGCCCUCAGGGUUGUAAACGGCUUUUGACGGUGAAGAAUCGACAGGAUGCGUCCUGUUUUGACGGUAGCCGUUGAAUAAGCACCGGCUAACUCCGUGCCAGCAGCCGCGGUAAUACGGAGGGUGCGAGCGUUGUCCGGAUUUAGUGGGUUUAAAGGGUGCGUAGGCUGGUAGGUCAGUCAGCGGUGAAAAGCUGUCGCUUAACGAUAGUCUUGCCGCAGAUACUUCCUUUCUUGGAUGAGGAGGAGGCCACUGGAACGGAUGGUGUAGCGGUGAAAUGCAUAGAUAUCAUCCAGAACACCGAUUGCGAAGGCAGGUGGCUGUACCUUAAUCGACGCUGAUGCACGAAAGCAUGGGGAGCAAACAGGAUUAGAAACCCGGGUAGUCC
rnacentral:rRNA from 1 species